UAGGGAAUCUUCCGCAAUGGACGAAAGUCUGACGGAGCAACGCCGCGUGAGUGAAGAAGGUUUUCGGUUCGUAAAACUCUGUUGUUAGGGAAGAAAAAAUGUAUAGUAACUAUAUACAAAAGAGACGGUACCUAACCAGAAAGCCACGGCUAACUACGUGCCAGCAGCCGCGGUAAUACGUAGGUGGCAAGCGUUGUCCGGAAUUAUUGGGCGUAAAGCGCGCGCAGGUGGUUUAGAAAGUCUGAUGUGAAAGCCCACGGCUCAACCGUGGAGGGUCAUUGGAAACUAAUAAACUUGAGUGCAGGAGAGAAAAGUGGAAUUCCUAGUGUAGCGGUGAAAUGCGUAGAGAUUAGGAGGAACACCGGUGGCGAAAGCGGCUUUUUGGCCUGCAAAUGACACUGAGGCGCGAAAGCGUGGGGAGCAAACAGG
rnacentral:rRNA from 1 species